CCCUUAGAUGUUCUGGGCCGCACGCGCGCUACACUGACGAAUGCAACGAGCUUAUAACCUUGGCCGAAAGGUCUGGGUAAUCUCCAAAUUUCGUCGUGAUGGGGAUAGAUUAUUGCAACUAUUAAUCUUCAACGAGGAAUACCUAGUAGGCGCAUGUCAUCAGCGUGCGUCGAUUACGUCCCUGCCCUUUGUACACACCGCCCGUCGCUCCUACCGAUUGAAUGAUCCGGUGAGUUUUUUGGACCGUGGCAACGGUCUUGGUUCGCCAAACUGAUACCGCGGGAAGAUACGCAAACCUUAUCAUUUAGAGGAAGGAGAAGUCGUAACA
rnacentral:rRNA from 1 species